rnacentral:lncRNA from 1 species
UAACAUAGCCUUAUAAAGAAAUGGUCAGUCUGACCCCUGUCCGGUUGAUGGAUUAGACACCCGCGACGACCUUACUGAAGAACGGGAUGAGCCAAUUGAAGAUCUUAUCUCAAUUCCUUUGAAUGAUGGGAAUGAAGAGCAUGUGGUGAAGAUCGGCUCCAACCUGGGAGAAGAGGUACGGACACGGCUCAUCAAUUUUCUACAAAAGAAUGCGGAUGUUUUCGCUUGGGUUCCGACGGACAUG